UGUGGGAGCGAGCCUGCUCGCGAUAGCGUUGGUUCAGUUGGCAUCUAUGUUGACUGACCCGCCGUCAUCGCGAGCAAGUUCGCUCCCACA
rnacentral:antisense_RNA from 1 species